AAAAAAACAAACUCUGGGUUUCCAUGUUUAACUUUGACUGUCUGUCUUAUAUGAAUUUUUUUUAUAAUUUGUAUUUUUAUUGUUGUUAGAUGAUAAAGCAUGAUUAAUAUUUUAUACGUGACUUGUCUUUUUAAUUUUUUUCAUAUUUUUUUUAAAUAGGACGGACGGUCAAACGUUAGACACGGAAACCAGGUCUGUCUUUUUU
rnacentral:pre_miRNA from 1 species